rnacentral:rRNA from 1 species
CAGCAAUGCGUGGCAUACGGCUCAGUAACACGUAGUCAACAUGCCCAGGGGACGUGGAUAACCUCGGGAAACUGAGGAUAAACCGCGAUAGGCCAAGGUUUCUGGAAUGGACACUGGCUGAAACCUAUAUGGCCCCUGGAUUGGACUGCGGCCGAUCAGGCUGUUGGUGAGGUAAUGGCCCACCAAACCUGUAACCGGUACGGGCUUUGAGAGAAGGAGCCCGGAGAUGGGCACUGAGACAAGGGCCCAGGCCCUACGGGGCGCAGCAGGCGCGAAAAUUCUGCAAUAGGCGAAAGCUUGACAGAGUUACUCUGAGUGAUGCCCGCUAAGGGCAUCUUUUGGCACCUCUAAAAAUGGUGCAGAAUAAGGGGUGGGCAAGUCUGGUGUCAGCCGCCGCGGUAAUACCAGCACCCCGAGUGGUCGGGACGAUUAUUGGGCCUAAAGCAUCCGUAGCUUGUUCUGCAAGUCUUCCGUUAAAUCCACCUGCUCAACAGAUGGGCUGCGGGAGAUACUACAGGGCUAGGAGGCGGGAGAGGCAAGCGGUACUCAGUGGGUAGGGGUAAAAUCCUCUGAUCCACUGAAGACCACCAGUGGCGAAGGCGGCUUGCCAGAACGCGCUCGACGGUGAGGGAUGAAAGCUGGGGGA